GGUUUUUGAAAGAUCCACAUUUUGGUUCUAUAUAAAAGAAAACCUAAAGAACUCAAGAGAGAAAUAACCCCUUUAAAGACUGAGCUAAAUGGAUAAUUAAUGGCUCCAUUUUAAUUGGACAAAGAAUCAAAAUGAAAGAUGAGCCAGAAUUAAAUGAGUUCCUGACAAAAAGGAAUCAGUUACUUGUAAUUUUCUUAUUAAGGGAGUGUCUUUGUUUUAGAUUAUCCCAAUACUAGAUAUCCAUUUCAAUCAUGUCCAUUCUAAAUAAAUAAUUUAGUAUAUUGUUCAGAUUUUCAGUGACUGUCUUGUAAUUGUGAUAGUGUAAUAAAUUAGGCAAAAUUACUUGAAGCAAAUGCUUAUGAAGUCAUCAGAAAACAAUUAUCUCCAGUUUCUAUUUAUAUUUUUUCCCCACUUUUAGUAAACUAUCACAAAGAUGAUGCUUACACAG
rnacentral:lncRNA from 1 species